rnacentral:lncRNA from 1 species
AUGUCAUUGGCUGCCUGUCCGCUGAGUCGUGGAACAGCGCCACGAUCACAGGCUGAACGACUCACAGGCUCCACACGAGCCGGGAGAAUGAGGGGGAGACGAGGGGGAGGGAGGCAGAGUAAAUGGCAGGAGAGAAGACCAUGGGAAGUGGCUGAAAGCUCCCUGAAAAAGCUAGAUUUGGCUGCAUGGUGAUUGGGAACGUGCUGCCUGGCGACUCUUAUCAUUCCUGUCUGUCAGAGACGGGAACACUCAU